rnacentral:lncRNA from 1 species
CUUCAAUCAACGUCCUGGCAUUGAUUAUGUCGAGACCUUCAGUCCUGUCAUAAAACCAACAACCAUCAGAUUGAUGCUCUCUCUUGCUUUAUCCAACAACUGGCCAUUGAAGCAACUUGAUGUCAAUAAUGCGUUUCUUCAUGGCCAACUGACUGAGAAAGUAUACAUGGCACAGCCUGUUGGCUUGGCUGAUCAGUCACAUCCUGAUUAUGUACGUGCUUUGCAGAGGUCCAUUUAUGGUUUAAAGCAAGCCCUGAGGGCCUGGUAUAAUGCAUUGCGAAACUUUCAAUUAGAGUUGGGAUUUUUCAAUUCUAAGGGCUGAUAGCUCACUUUUUUAUCGUCCACCGAGAUGGGACUUUGUUCUACGUUCUUGUUUAUGUAGAUGAUUUAAUUCUCACAGGUAAUAAUCAUUAGUUUUUGUAGCAUGUUGUUACAUCUCUGGGUGACAGGUUUUCGCUCAAAGAGCUAUGUGAUCUACAUUUCUUCCUUUGAGUUGAAGUCGUUCCAGUCCAGCAGGGACUAUUUCUCUCCCAAAAUCGCUAUGUCCAUGAUCUUCUCACUCGUUAGAAAAUGACUGGUGCCAAAGAGGUUCAAACUCCCAUGUCCACGACUACCAAACUUCUUCUCCAUGAUGGCACUGCUGGGUGUGAUGCUACGGAAUACCGUCGUACCAUUGGCUCAUUACAAUACCUGUCCCUCACCCGUCCAGACAUUAGUUUUGCAGUGAAUUGCCUUGCUCAAUUUAUGCACAAGCCUAGUGUGACUCAUUGGCAACAUGUCAAGCACCUCCUACAUUAUAUUAAGCAAACGAUUCACUUUGGACUUCUGCUUCGACGUCAAAAAAAUCCCAUUCUCCGUGGAUUUUCAGAUGCGGACUGGGGCGGUAAUCUUGAUGAUCGUAAGUCCACUUUGGCUUACAUAAUUUUUCUGGGCAAUAAUCCUAUCAGCUGGAGCACUCGAAAGCAAAAGGCGGUAGCUCGAUCCUCCACCGAAGCUGAAUAUCGGGCCCUUGCCACUGCCACCUUGGACAUUGC